rnacentral:lncRNA from 1 species
UACUCUCCCAACGAAACGAAGAUGAAUCAGAUGCGAGCAAUGCUGAUGAAGAAGAUGCAGAGGACGACGAUGAAUCAGGUGCCUCUCGCCAAGGUAUGUUUCGUUAUUAUAUUUCUUCGCUAAGCUAAUCGGAUACUGCUGCUCCUGAUUUUGACUUGUCGUUGUUGUUGUCGUACUUGAAGUUCCGUGGGAGAGGUUUCUCAUCAGGCUCGACUGGCUCUUCAAAAUCGGAUACUGCUGAUCCUGUGACCUGGUUCAAGGUUUUCAAGAGUGUAGAGAUCCUUCUCCCUUUACGUUCCUCUCCAAUGUCGUUGCUAGCUUCAUCUUCUCAGAAACCAGACCUCCUCUCUUGGCAUGCACGGCUUGGUCAUCCGGCCCUAUCAGUUCUUAAGUCUGUUGUUUCCAAAUUUUCUU